rnacentral:tRNA from 2 species
GCCCAGGUAGCUCAGUCGGUAGAGCAGGGGAUUGAAAAUCCCCGUGUCGGCAGUUCGAUUCUGUCCCUGGGCACCA